AACACAGACCCGCAAUGCCGUGUCACUGCAGUGUUCGCUUGCAGCAAUCGUAGUGGAAAAUGUUCGGACCUCAUAAGAUUUCACUGGUACUUGAAUGUGUUUGGCUUCAUUGUCAACAUGGAGAGUUUGUUCAGAUUGGUACCAGAAGUUCUAGCCAACCAAAGUUUCUUGUUAACGUACAAGUUGAGCCAAGAUCCCUUGGAGCUGUUCUUCGGUGCAGUACGCAAAGCGGGAUGUAUGAUUAUGCAGGUGGAUUUAACAACAACCCAAGCUGUCGUCAGUUCAUGGCAAUCUUCGGUAAGAAGAUUGUGCACAGCGGGGUAUCACCAUCUUCAGCUAAAUGUUGUCUUCAUGGACAGCACACAGUGUCUCCAGGUCGAUGAUGUCAUGCCACAUGAAGCAGCUGAGUCUACUUUUAUGGACAACAUCCACCACACGUACAGCACAUGGAUCUCACCAAAACUUGCUCCGUUUGCUAUGAACAUCAUAACAUACAUUGCAGGUUUUGUGGUGCGUCAGAUUGUAACUGAGGUGUGUUGUGAUGUGUGUAAAUCAUCUUUGGUCUCUAAUGCUGUCUAAUCUCAAUAUGAUAAUUUGUAUCAGCUGUUUCAAAUGAAAAAUAAAGGUGGGAUGUUACACCCUCACAAAGUGUAGUGCACCUUUUAACUGCAGCAGAAAAAGGCAUCAGACUUUUCAUGAAUAUUUCCAAUGCAACAAAUGUCUGCUCCCGACACAGAGUGCUGGUCUAAAAAAUGAACGUGGGGAUAUCGAUCCAUUGUGCCUCGGAAAACAUAUAGUGGAGUCUCAAUAUGGCAUGGACAGCCAUUACCUUGACCUCAUCCAACUCCUGAUGAACAGUUACUACACCAUCAGACAGAAACAUGUUGCCAGAUUACACACCUCACAGCUUAAAAAAAGAGUCUGUUCAUCGGAAACUGACUUAAGCUCAUUCUCUUCAAAGGCCAAUAAUUAAACAAUACAGGAAAAAAACACUAAUAAAUACAGUAAAGUACAGAAUAACUAUGGACUUGCAUUUAUUUUACAAAUGAUUGUCAAUCUUAUAAUUGAACACAAUUUUGUUUUUUAUUUAAUUUUUUUUAGUUUAUUGUGUAUUUCUAAACAGUGUUUUCAAAAUGAUGCUUUAAACCUUGGUUUUUGGAUUGUGUUUUGACAAUGUAAUUUUAGUAUACUUUCUUUUACUUGUUUUGACUACGUUGUUAAUAAAAAUAAAAAUUUUUUAGUUAAAAUAA